GAUGAACGCUAGCGAUAGGCCUAACACAUGCAAGUCGAGGGGCAUCACAUGAAGUAGCAAUACGGAUGGUGGCGACCGGCGCACGGGUGAGUAACACGUAUGCAACCUGCCUUCAACAAGGGGAUAACCCGUUGAAAGACGGACUAAUACCCUAUAACACAGGGGUCCCGCAUGGGGAUAUUUGUUAAAGGACAACCGGUUGAAGAUGGGCAUGCGUUCCAUUAGCUAGUUGGCGGGGUAACGGCCCACCAAGGCAACGAUGGAUAGGGGAACUGAGAGGUUUAUCCCCCACACUGGUACUGAGACACGGACCAGACUCCUACGGGAGGCAGCAGUGAGGAAUAUUGGUCAAUGGGCGAGAGCCUGGACCAGCCAAGUCGCGUGCAGGAAGAAUGUCCUAUGGAUUGUAAACUAGCUUUUGUCAGGGGAAGUAAAGUAGGGCCACGUGUGGCUUUUUGCAUGUACCUUACGAAUAAGGAUCGGCUAACUCC
rnacentral:rRNA from 1 species